rnacentral:rRNA from 1 species
AAAUUGAAGAGUUUGAUCAUGGCUCAGAUUGAACGCUGGCGGCAGGCCUAACACAUGCAAGUCGAGCGGUAGCACAGAGAGCUUGCUCUCGGGUGACGAGCGGCGGACGGGUGAGUAAUGUCUGGGAAACUGCCUGAUGGAGGGGGAUAACUACUGGAAACGGUAGCUAAUACCGCAUAACGUCGCAAGACCAAAGUGGGGGACCUUCGGGCCUCAUGCCAUCAGAUGUGCCCAGAUGGGAUUAGCUAGUAGGUGAGGUAACGGCUCACCUAGGCGACGAUCCCUAGCUGGUCUGAGAGGAUGACCAGCCACACUGGAACUGAGACACGGUCCAGACUCCUACGGGAGGCAGCAGUGGGGAAUAUUGCACAAUGGGCGCAAGCCUGAUGCAGCCAUGCCGCGUGUGUGAAGAAGGCCUUCGGGUUGUAAAGCACUUUCAGCGGGGAGGAAGGCGUUAAGGUUAAUAACCUUGGCGAUUGACGUUACCCGCAGAAGAAGCACCGGCUAACUCCGUGCCAGCAGCCGCGGUAAUACGGAGGGUGCAAGCGUUAAUCGGAAUUACUGGGCGUAAAGCGCACGCAGGCGGUCUGUCAAGUCGGAUGUGAAAUCCCCGGGCUCAACCUGGGAACUGCAUUCGAAACUGGCAGGCUAGAGUCUUGUAGAGGGGGUAGAAUUCCAGGUGUAGCGGUGAAAUGCGUAGAGAUCUGGAGGAAUACCGGUGGCGAAGGCGGCCCCCUGGACAAAGACUGACGCUCAGGUGCGAAAGCGUGGGGAGCAAACAGGAUUAGAUACCCUGGUAGUCCACGCCGUAAACGAUGUCGAUUUGGAGGUUGUGCCCUUGAGGCGUGGCUUCCGGAGCUAACGCGUUAAAUCGACCGCCUGGGGAGUACGGCCGCAAGGUUAAAACUCAAAUGAAUUGACGGGGGCCCGCACAAGCGGUGGAGCAUGUGGUUUAAUUCGAUGCAACGCGAAGAACCUUACCUGGUCUUGACAUCCACAGAACUUUCCAGAGAUGGAUUGGUGCCUUCGGGAACUGUGAGACAGGUGCUGCAUGGCUGUCGUCAGCUCGUGUUGUGAAAUGUUGGGUUAAGUCCCGCAACGAGCGCAACCCUUAUCCUUUGUUGCCAGCGGUCCGGCCGGGAACUCAAAGGAGACUGCCAGUGAUAAACUGGAGGAAGGUGGGGAUGACGUCAAGUCAUCAUGGCCCUUACGACCAGGGCUACACACGUGCUACAAUGGCAUAUACAAAGAGAAGCGACCUCGCGAGAGCAAGCGGACCUCAUAAAGUAUGUCGUAGUCCGGAUUGGAGUCUGCAACUCGACUCCAUGAAGUCGGAAUCGCUAGUAAUCGUAGAUCAGAAUGCUACGGUGAAUACGUUCCCGGGCCUUGUACACACCGCCCGUCACACCAUGGGAGUGGGUUGCAAAAGAAGUAGGUAGCUUAACCUUCGGGAGGGCGCUUACCACUUUGUGAUUCAUGACUGGGGUGAAGUCGUAACAAGGUAACCGUAGGGGAACCUGCGGUUGGAUCACCUCCUUA